UGUGACACCUUACAAAUGUUCCAAAGGGUGGGUGACUGUAAGAGGUCAAGCACCCAGGGGCCUGGUGAACUCACAGUCAUCAUGCCUGGGGCACCGUUGACAGUGGCUGCAGUCACUUGGGACUAUCUAUGUCAAGAGGACACUUGUAGUUAUGGUGCCCAGGACAGAUGGUACAAGGCUUAUCAGCCAGAGUGCUGACUGUUAGAACGGUCACUAGACGCAGGUAGCAGCAUGACUGAGCCCCGUGGAAUGGUGCCCCCUUCUUGACUCAGCACUCAGGAAGCCAAAGCAGGGCUGUCACAAGUUCAAGGGCAGCCUGGGCCAAGUCAUCUUCUCUUUAAAAAAAAAAAAAAGCAAACAAGGGUGGUCACAAUUAUCUGACAAGGUCUCAGAGAAAGUAGGCACACAUCACAGCCCCAAAACCCCAGGCUCUGGACCUCGGAACCCAUCCUGCAUUUGCUGUUCUGGAAGCAGAUAGCCACCAUGCCCACGGGGGCACAGCUCUUCUGUCACCAGCACCAGACACUCCGCCAGAGUCAGCCAUCACUGUCAGCAUGUCACAGCCACUCUGCCGAGUGCAGACACAUCCACGCUGUUACAGCUGUCACAGACAGGGACAUAGUCGGCGGGCACAGUUACGGCAGCCCAGAAGCACCACGCCACCCUGUCAUCACUGUCUUCAGGGCAGAGGCAGGCAGCGCCCGGGGUCCAGGCAGCCCAAGCCCGUCACGCAGCUAAGCAGCCCUCCCGGACACCGCCUCGGCAGGGGUCGCCACUACUCUGCACACCGUCACUUGUCACUUCAGAAAGCAGCUGCUCUGGACCAUUACUGCCCAAGCUUGAUCGAGAGCCCUGAAGCAGCGUGAAUCCCCUCGGGCCCCAACUUCACCCUGGACCCCGCAGAAACAGAAGAGCUGCUGCAGUGGCGUCCCCUCUCUACACCCACGCGGGGCACGCUGAUCCUCCCACCCGCCCCACAGCGCCCCCUUCGGCCGGCUUCGCGCGUGGCGCCCCUCGCGCGCUGGUGCGCUCCGCGCGCCGGGGGAGUCUCACCGCCUACUGCUGCCUCCGCUGGUGCCGGUGCCAUGGAAGGACGAGGGCCAGGACAUGCGGGUGGUCCGCAGGCCUGGCCGGUCGCCAGUGUCCACGGCGUCGGCGCGCUCCAUGGGCCGGUGCGGUGAGCGCUCGGCACUGUCCGAGUAGCCACGCUGCUGGAUGCGGAUCGGGGUCCUUGGCUGCCGCCACAGGCCCCCUCGGCGAGGAGUGGUCCUCAGGCCACCCAGGCGCAGCGUCGGCAAGCCGGCAGCAGCGCACGCAGGACCGUGACGGCGUGUGGCGCCCCCAUCGCCUGGCGGGAUCAAGAUUUAGUCCAGCUCUGCACCCUCAAGCCCUUACGGAUACCCCUUAGAUGCCCUGGAGAGGUCGGAGAAGAAUCCACGGAAGCCAUUCUCUCCUAACAUCUGGUGGCCCCCGGGAAUCAAACUCAAACAGUCAAGGCUGCCGGCAAACGGUUUCACCCACUGAGCGCCUCGCCGGCCCAAUCCCUGCCCCCUCUUCUUUUAAUUGUUAAAAGAAUCUUUGAAGCUCUUCUUCGAAAGGUAAACUGAGGCAGGUGGAAGGAGUAGCUGCGAUAGGAGACUCUUGGAGGAUGCACCCCACCCCUGUCGUUUUCAGGCGAGUAAACAAGCGGAGCCUCGUCUCCCGCCCUCAGAACCCCCCUUCCGGCACCUAAAUCCGGAGUCGCCGUGACUCACGCUCCCGCCUCCCUCAGCGCCGUGCCGAGCAAACGAGCAAAAGAGCGAGCGGGGAUCCGAGAGCGGCCCCGUGCCUCCUCCCGGCCCUGGCUGAGUGAGCCCGGAUUGCUGCUGGGCCAGGGUGGGCGUGCUGAGGCGCCCUCGUGCCUCGUUCCCUCCCAGGCUGCACCGCUGCUCAGCCGCGGCAGUGUCCCCUGCAGUGCCCUCUCCCCCACGCGCCACCCCUCUUCUGGUCGCCCAGCGGGAGACAGGCCGUGCAGUCCUGCCCCACCCCCACGCUCGGUCUUAAUUACACACAGGCAGCAAACCUUUCCCAGUCUCCAACUUCCUCAACCACUUUCCCCUAGCUGGAGGGGACUCCAAGCGUGGGCAAAGGAAUGCGGCAGAGGAACUGGCCCCCCACCAACAGCCCCAGGUGUUCCCCGAAGCCAGAACUGUAUCUGCCCCCUACUUUUCUCAGGAACCUUCCCACAAGCAUCUAAGCGGUAUUUUGCAAGUGUUGAGGACGCCCAGCUGUCCAACGUCUUCAUACUGAGAGCUGCAGCCUUGGCCCCAGCUCUGGAUGGAGCCCCCUCCUGCCUACCUGUUGUCGUCUGAUCUGAUGAUAGUUACUCGAGACGAGAUCCGCAGCCGUUGCUUGGUGGACCUUGGCAUGGCAGGGAGUCCAGGAUCCAAGGGCUCAGGCUAAGCCCAGCCCGGACCAGGACCUGACGAGAGAUGGUGGCGAGGGUGGCGCAGGAACACGACUACAUAGCUACCAAGCAGAGCAGCUAAUGGGCACAUUCAGGACCCUCAUUUCUGAGCCUUCCAUGGAGGAGUGAACGAGUCCCUUUAAGCCACAGUCGUUCAGAAUGGGAGUUUAUUCUGUAACCUAGGCUGGCCUUGAGUUCUCCGUCCUCCUGCCUCAGCUUACCACAUGUUAUCAUUACAGACUGUGCCCCUGUUUUAUCAUCUUUUCCCACCCUCUUGUCCUUUCUUCUUUUGUACAGUUUCGCUGUGUAACAAGCUGGCCUUGAAAUCAUCACCUGUCUAUGCCCCCCAAGCGCUGGGAUUAAAGGCCUCUGUCUCUGCACCCAGUAUCAUCCGCUCCACCCUUCCUUCGCCUGUCCCAGAGCCCGGGUCAAGGGUCACCUGCCUGUGCAGAGGACCAGAGGCACCUUCCGUUAGAACUCGCGGGCUCCCCAUGCAGACUGGGUCUGGAACCUUCCCAGCCCCCUUGCCUAUCACUCGCUCAUCUCGGCAGACGUCAGCAAACAGCUGACGCAAAGCUGGCGAGGGAUGAUGCCCUCCCGUUACCAUGGCGACAGGUGACGCACGCGCGCUCGGGCGGGUGUAGGUGCGGCGGCAGGCCUCUGGGGGCGCAGUGGCCCCUCUGCGAGUUCCUUGCGGCCGCACGCUGGGACUUCCCCGUCCGGGAAUCCCACGGAGGAGCCGGCCGCGUGCUGCGCGUGGUCCGAGCCGGGGGCCGGAGGAAGCGCUCCUGCGAGCUGUCGGGCAUUCUGCUACACCCCAAACCCCCGAAAUAGCUGCGGUGUGCGGGGGCCGGCGCCGAGAGAGACGGCGGCUUCUGGGCACAGAUGGGGGACGCACAAGGCAGAGGCGCGGAGACAGACAAGGACUGGUGGAAAUAGAAACAGACAGACAGGGACACAGUCGCAGCUUGCGGUGACGGGGGAGGGAGAGACUGGCUCACUUUACCUUCGCAACCUAGCACCGAAGAUGUGGGUUGUGUGACCACGGGUCUUUGAGGCUCGGAGAGGCUCCUUUCCUGUAGCUCGGGCUAGCCUCAUUCAGACUUCCCGCCUAUGACCUUGAACAUCUCAUCCCUUUUCCUCCACUUCAGCGCUGGGAUUACAGGCUUGCAACACUAAGCCCCGUUAGUGGAUCCAGUUUAGGGCUUCCUUCGAAGUGUGCAGUGCAAGCGUUCUAUCCACUGAGUCACAUCUCCAAGGUCUCACUAUGUAGAUCAGGCUGCCCUUCAACUCACGGAGAAACAUUUGCCUCUGCCUCCGAGGCACUCACCAGGGAGGCUUCUGCUUCGUAUAUACCACCCUCCACCUAGCGCCCCUCACCUUCCAGGGCUCUCAAAGCAAAUUUGGAACUCCUGCUCUCCUGCAGACCGCGUUAUUCUUUCCGCAGCAGUGAUGGCCGCAGUGCUGCUAUGUUGUUGCUACCUUACUUACGACCUUCUACAUGCCUACACGGGAAUACCAGCUGCAGCCUGGGCUGAGAGAAAAGUGCUUGGUGUGCAAGCAUGAGGACCUGAGUUCAGAUCUCCAGCACCCGCAUAAAAGCUGAGUGGAGGGGUGCACCUGAAAUCCUCCAACCUGGGAUGGGAGGUGGAUGUGAGGAUCCUCAGGCCCAGUGGCAAGCCAGUCUAGAGAAAGUAUGAUCUUCAAGCUCAGUGAGGGACCCUGCCUCAAAAAAUAGAUCAGGUGUUGUGGUGUGCGCCUUUAAUCCCAGCACUCAGGAGGCAGCGGCAAAGGAAUCUUUGUGAGUUGGAGGCCAGCCUGAUCUACAUAGUGAGUCCUGGGACAGUCAGGGCAACACAGAGAAACCCUGUCUUAGAGGUGCAAUUAAACGGUGGAAAGCAAUAGAGGAAGACACCUAUUGUUGACCUCCGACUUCCAUGUUCACCCACAUGUGAGUGCCAUCCACACACAGGUGCAAACACAUGAACACCAAGACGAAAAACAGAUUAUCAGAACCAGCUGUGGUAGUGCACGCCUGUAAUCCCAGGACUUGGUAGGCAGAGGCAGAUGGAUCUCUGAGUUCAAGGCCAGCCUGGUCAACAAAGCAAGUUCCAGGACCGCCAGGGCUUCAAAGAAACCCUGUCUCAAAAAAACAAAACAAAAGAAAAAAAGAAAAUAGAAUAUCAGCUGCAGGAAGGCAAGAGCAUUUCAUCUUUUCCCCCACCCCAGGCCGGGUUCCACAUAGCCCAGGCUGGCUUUGAACUCCUGAUCCUCUUGCCUCCAGUUUUUUGUUUUGUUUUGAGACAGGGUUUGUCUGUGUAGCCCUAGCCGGCCUUGACCAGGCUGCCCUCCAACUCAUAAAGCUGCCGGCCUCUGCCUCUGCCUCCCAGGCGCUGGGGUUAAAGGCGCGUUCCACCAGUGUGCCUGUUUUUCUGUGCUGUUACAGCUGUGAGCCACCAUAUCCAGCUAAGGUAUUUCUGUGUUCUGGGACUCCUGUGGAUCAUUUCCAGCUAUCAGAAAUGAUUAGGACUUGGGGUGCGGUGGGGGGGGGGGACCGCGGUGCUAAGCAUCAAAGCCGGGAUCUCUACCUGCAUGCCAGACCUGCAUGCUGGACAAGCAUGCUGCUAUUGAGCUUCAUGAUCCUCCCUGCUUUCGUAUAUGGUGUGUGAUGCGGUAUGAGAGGAGAAUGAAUCUUGGGGUGCAGCCCAGGCUGGCCUCAAAGCCUUCCUGCCUCAGCCUGCAAAAUGUUGGGAUUACAGAUGUGACGACCCCACCCCCCAGCCCAAAUCCUCCCAUGGUUUGAGAUUUCAUCAUCCUGUGCUGUACAGUUGGCUGCCAACUCCUAGGGUCAAGAAGUUCUUCUGCCUUGGUUUCCCAAGUAUGUAAGACCACAAUCAUGUACCCAUGUGCCCAGUCGGACACGGAUGUAUACCGGCAUUCUCCCUCUAUGUUACAGAACACCAAAACUAACUCCUUCUAGCUUCUUUUGUCUUAUGGAAAUGACUGAGAUCUUAAUGUGAUGUAAGUCAGAAGAGCUUAUUGUGACUACCUUCUGACUGUAGGAGGCGAUGGUACCCACUCUUUAUGCUCCCACAGACUCAAAGGAUGCUAAAAGCAGGAAGAGGGUGAGAAUAGAAUUUAACUGCUAGAGACUCUGGUAGCACAGUUUUGGGUUUUGAAGGCUCUGGACGGAAGGAAGGAUAUAGCUUUAAGAGAAUCUGGUAGCAUAAGUUUUGUUGUUUUGUUUUGUUUUUGUUGGACAUUGAGACAGAGUCUUGCUAUGUAGCUAUGACCAUCCUGGAGCUCACUGUGUGGACCAGAGUGGCUUUGAACUCACAGAGAUCCACCGAGUGACAGGAUUACAGGCUUGUACCACUACCUCCGGCUCUGGUGUCUUAUUUGUCAUUUCAGUGUUCAUGUGUGUGAAUCUGUGGGGGAGGUACAUUCACAUGUUCGUGCAUAUGGGAAUGAUAUUUAUUAUUAAUAUUUUAUGUGCAUGGGUGUUUUUCCUCUAUGUACCAGGGUCAAAUGCUCUGGAGUUAUAGGUAGUUACAGAUGGCUGUGAGCUGCUGGUAACUGAACCUGAGUCUUCUCCAAGAGCAUCAAGUGUUCGUAACCACUGAGCCAUCUCUCUGUCAACCUAGUUUUGACCUUCAAAGGCUCUGGAAGGGAUGAAAGAGGGAGGGAGAAGGGAGUUAAUGUAGCUGCAAGAGAGUCUGAUAAUAGACUUUGGGUUUUGAAGUCUCUGGAAGGAAGGAGUGUAGUUGCAGGAGAGUCUGAUAGGAUAGGUUUCUGUUUUGCAGGUUCUGGAAGGAAGGAAGAGAGGAAGGAGGAAGAAAAGCACCUUCUCUUUCUAUGCACACAGCUACAUAUGCUCAGUCCCAUAGAGAACAGAGCUGGUAAUAUACACCUAGAUUCUGUAAUCAUACCAGCAUGGCUGCAGUCAAAUCCUCCCUCUUCCACUUCCUGGUGACCCUGGAUAAAUCAUCCAGCCUCUCUGGGCUUCAGCUUUCUCAUCUGUAACACAAAGCGCUGGAGAUGAAGCCAAAGGUCUUCCACAUACUUGGUAGGGGCUAUCCCACGGAGCCCGCCCCAGCCCCUCACUAGGGGAUUCUAAGCAGGGCUCUACUGUGAGCCCCACCCUAGCCCUUGCAAUACUUGGUCAUCUGGAGCAUGGGCUUUGUCUGCACGGGCAUUUCCCCAGGUCAUGUAAACCCUCUGUAAUUACUGGGCUGUCAUCCCGUCUGUAUUUCAAGUGCUUGUAGCAGCCAUGGUACACAGUGAGAAUUGAUGAGCCCGGGGACAUGUGUCAUUUGGUAGAGUGUUUGCCUCUCAUGCGCAAAGCCCCGGGGCCCAUCCUCAGGACCAUACAAAACUGGGCAUGGUGGCACAUGGCCAUAAUCCCAACGGUAUAAGACCCUGCCUCAAAAACAAACAAAAAGACAAACCCUUAGGGAAUAAAAUGAAGAAAGGAGUAGAGAGGGGCAGAGACUGCUAUCCACACAGCACACAGUUACCUGUUUUCUUUUUUUGUUUGUUUGUUUUUGUUUUUGUUUUUUUGUAGCCCUGGCAGGUCCAGAAUUCAUGUAUCAACCAGACUGACCUCCAAGUCAAAUCUGGAUCUGCCUUUUUCUGACUCCUGAGCAUUGGGACUAAAGGUGUGAGCUACCAUAUCUAGCUCUGUCCACUCAAAUGUAAAGCAUAAGCCUGGAGAAAAACUCAGACAAGGGAGGGGUGGGGAUUUCUAGGCCUUCCUUCUCUGGACAGCAGCCUGGGUGGGGAGGCAUACAGAUAGCACCGCUGGCUGCUCUGGGCUCUGAGUGUCUGUUCCUUCUGUGGGGUGUGGAUGGGUGGCUGGAUGGGUGGCCUGGCCUCUGCUUGUUUGGGAACCAUGUGCCUAGAUGCAGCAGAAAGCAGUAUUUCCCAGUGGUUAAAGAUGCAAGUUUGCCGUUGGCAAGAUGGCUUAGCAUGUAGAGGUGCUUGCUGCCAACUCUGAUGACGUGCGCUCAGCCCUGUGAACCAGCAUGGUGGAAGGAGAGAAUGACUUCCUUCCUUAAGUUGUCCUCAGACCUCUAUACGUUUGCUGUGGCACCUGUGUGAGUGUGUCAACACACACACACACAACAUGAAAAUAUAGUACGAAAUAGUACAAUGUAAAUUUGGAGGCCAGUGUGGCACUGCUCUCCAGUAGUUCCAGAAAUAGGGAGACAGAGGCAAGAGGGUCAUAAGGUCAGAGCCAUCCUGGGCUACAUAGUGACACCUUGUCUCAAAAAAGGUGGUGCUCCUGUGCAUCCCUCCUUCCUCGGAUCUACAGGCAGUUAAUGUUUGCUGGGGGAGGGAAAGAUGUUUCUUCAGAGGUGUCGCUGCCAGUAGGGUGCCCAUGAGCCUUGAAGCAACUAUAAUGAAAUUCAUUGGCUCACACACACACAGAUCUCACUAUGUAGCCCUCUCUGGCCUGGGACCAAAGCUCCAUCUCCUGAGUCCAUCAGGCCCUGUGCUCAGUUGGACCUCUGCAGGACCCCUUUCUCAAUGGACCAUAACCAUCCCUUUGGUCUUUGUUAUUCGUUUGUCUGUAUGUUUAAGAGGCAGUCUUACUGCAGGGCCCAGACUGGCCAGGAAUUCCAGUCCUUCUCUUGCAAUGGCCUGAGUACUGGGAUUAAGCACACAACACUAUGCCUGUCUCCUUCCUACUUUUUUUUUUUUUUUGUACUUUGUUUCUUCACUUGAAAAAUUACAUUUAGCUGGAUAUGAUGGCAGACACCUUUUAUCCCAGCACUCAGGAGGCAGAGGCAGGAGAAUGAAUCUCUCCGAAUUUAAGGCUGGCCUGGUCAACAGAGUGCAUUCCAGGCCAGCCAAGGCUCUGUUACUCAGAAACUCUGGAAGGGCAGGGGAGCCAUGCAUAGCAACGUGAAGACGUGGAACACAAAGAGAAGAAUCAGUUCUCUCUCCCACCAUGUGGGUCCUGGGUCUUCAGCCUCUGUGGCAAGCACCUCCCUCCCUGACUCAUCUUAUCAGCCCCUUCCUUAUUUUCAGGAGAAUAACAAAUCAACUCUUAAUUAUAUAUAUAUAUGAGGGGGAGGAGUAAUUAAUUGGCUCAUGAGAACCCUCUUUCCUGAUGCCCAAUUAUCUGAAUCUAGUCUGAAUUUUAAUUUCUUUUCCCUUAAUCAGGCUUUCCCCCCCACCCCGAGACAGGGUUUCUCUGUGUAGCCUUGACUGUCCCAGAACUCCUUCGUAGACCAGGCUGGCCUCGAACUCACAGAGAUCCAAUUCACAACACACUCUGCCUCUGCCUCCUGAGCGCUGGGAUUAAAAGUGUGGGUGUGGUGUCCCUGGCUGUCCUGGAACUCACAACACAGGGUCUGCCUCUGCUUCCAGAGUGCUGGGAUUAAAAGGUGACAGUUACCUAGGAGAGAUGUUUGUUUUUUUUGAGACAAGAUCUCCUGAAGCUUAGACUGGCCUCGAACCCUUGUAGCCACUGUCAGCCAGGAACUCCUGAUCCUCCUCCUUGCCUCUACCUCCCAAGUGCUGGGAUGGCAGGCAUUCAACACCUUCAUGCCUGGCCAUCACUUUCAUUGUGAUGGUCUAGUUUAUAUUCAGACUUGCUUCUGUAUGAUCUUGCUCCCUGGCCAACCAGGUACAGGGACCUGUGAAUGUCUCUCCUUUGCUGCCACUGUGGUCUGGCCAAUGUGGCUGUUUACAGUAGGUGGCUAGGGAAUGGGAAUGAAAUACACAAGGAAAUGAAUUUUGGAGCAAAGGCAUAUUCGGCUCCUGGCCGGCCUUGGUCUCAGCCUGCCUCCCAUUGGUAGCUGAAGAAGCAGAGGCGCAGGAAUGCGCGAGGAACGGCUGGGAUCUCUGAGAUCUCACUGCAGCUAAGUGGUGUCUGCAGCAAGGAUUCCCACCUCCAGCUUUGGCCCAGCCCCAAAGCAGUCCAAUUCUCCCUACCCACAUUCCACAGAAACAAGAUACACCACAGGAGUCUGCUCUGAGGGAAGGUGGUCCACCAGGAAUGUGAGAUAGGGAACCGGCUCUGAGUAACUUGGGGCUGGUGUCUUUCCCAGUCCCCGCGGGCUGGACACACCUGGUACUGGAGCUGAACUGACUGCUCUCCCAGAGGACCUGGGUUCAAAUCCCAGCACCCACAUGGCAGCUUACAACUGUCUGUAACUCCAAGAUCUGACACUCGCACAUAGACAUACAUGCAGGCAAAAAAAAAAAAAAAAAAAAAAAAAAAAAGGACUGGAGCUGAUGCAAUGGCCCAGCUAUAAAGAUGCCUGCCACCAAAGCUGGAUGGUCAGUUUGAUCCUAGAGCCCACAGGGUUAAAGAGAACUAACUCCAGCAAAUUAUUUCAUAACCUUCACAUGUGUACAUGUGUGCACACGUGCGAGCACACACACACACACACACAUUUAAAGGACAAGGGCCAAGGAGAUGGCACAUUUGAUAAAAGCACUUGCCAUCAAGCCUGAAGACCUGAAUUUGAUCCAUGGGACCCACAUGGGAGAAGAAAAAUGACACUGUCAAGUUGUCCUGACUUUCAUAUGUGCACAAACACAUUGAUAAA